GACGAAUGCUGGCGGCGUGCUUAACACAUGCAAGUCGAACGGAAAGGCCCUGCUUUUGUGGGGUGCUCGAGUGGCGAACGGGUGAGUAACACGUGAGUAACCUGCCCUUGACUUUGGGAUAACUUCAGGAAACUGAGGCUAAUACCGGAUAGGAGCUCCUGCUGCAUGGUGGGGGUUGGAAAGUUUCGGCGGUUGGGGAUGGACUCGCGGCUUAUCAGCUUGUUGGUGGGGUAGUGGCUUACCAAGGCUUUGACGGGUAGCCGGCCUGAGAGGGUGACCGGCCACAUUGGGACUGAGAUACGGCCCAGACUCCUACGGGAGGCAGCAGUGGGGAAUAUUGCACAAUGGGCGGAAGCCUGAUGCAGCAACGCCGCGUGCGGGAUGACGGCCUUCGGGUUGUAAACCGCUUUCGCCUGUGACGAAGCGUGAGUGACGGUAAUGGGUAAAGAAGCACCGGCUAACUACGUG
rnacentral:rRNA from 1 species